rnacentral:rRNA from 1 species
GAUCCCUACGGGAGGCAGCAGUGGGGAAUAUUGCACAAUGGGGGAAACCCUGAUGCAGCAACGCCGCGUGAGUGAAGAAGUCAUUCGUGAUGUAAAGCUCUGUCAGCAGGGAAGAAGAAAGACGGUACCUGACCAAGAAGCCCCGGCUAACUACGUGCCAGCAGCCGCGGUAAUACGUAGGGGGCAAGCGUUAUCCGGAUUUACUGGGUGUAAAGGGAGCGUAGACGGCAGGGCAAGUCUGGAGUGAAAGGCAGGGGCCCAACCCCUGGACUGCUCUGGAAACUGUCCGGCUGGAGUGCAGGAGG